GACGAACGCUGGCGGCGUGCUUAACACAUGCAAGUCGAACGGAAAGGCCCUGCUUUUGUGGGGUGCUCGAGUGGCGAACGGGUGAGUAACACGUGAGUAACCUGCCCUUGACUUUGGGAUAACUUCAGGAAACUGGGGCUAAUACCGGAUAGGAGCUCCUGCUGCAUGGUGGGGGUUGGAAAGUUUCGGCGGUUGGGGAUGGACUCGCGGCUUAUCAGCUUGUUGGUGGGGUAGUGGCUUACCAAGGCUUUGACGGGUAGCCGGCCUGAGAGGGUGACCGGCCACAUUGGGCCUGAGAUACGGACCAGACUCCAACGGGAGGCAGCAGUGGGGAAUAUGGCACAAUGGGCGGAAGCCUGAGGCAGAGACGCCGGGUUCGGGAUGACGGCCUGUUGGUUGUAAACCGCUUUCGCCUGUGACGAAGCGUUAGUGACGGUAAUGGGUAAAGAAGCACCGGCUAACUACGUG
rnacentral:rRNA from 1 species